rnacentral:rRNA from 1 species
UACGUAGGGGGCUAGCGUUGUCCGGAAUCAUUGGGCGUAAAGCGCGUGUAGGCGGUCCGGUAAGUCCGCUGUGAAAGUCGGGGGCUCAACCCUCGAAUGCCGGUGGAUACUGUCGGGCUAGAGUGCGGAAGAGGCGAGUGGAAUUCCUGGUGUAGCGGUGAAAUGCGCAGAUAUCAGGAGGAACACCAGCGGCGAAGGCGGCGCUCUGGGCCGGUACUGACACUGAGGAGCGAAAGCGUGGGGAGCAAACAGG